rnacentral:lncRNA from 1 species
AAAGGUUGAUGGAAAGUUAUUAUGCUGGCUCUGUACUUUAUCGUACAAAAGAGUUUUACAGAAGACGAAAGAACAAAGGAAGAGCCUGGGAUCUUCACAUUCAAAUUCAUCUUCUUCAUCUCUUACUGAGAAAGACCAGCAUCAUCCAAAACAUCAUCACCACCAUCAUCACCAUCACCAUCGUCACAGCAGUAGCCAUCACAAAAUCAGCAAUCUAAGUCCAGAAGAAGAGCAGGGACUGUGGAAACAGAGCCAUAAAUCCUCUGCAACAAUUCAGAAUGAAACUCCAAAGAAAAAGCCCAAAUUGGAAUCUAAGCCAUCUAAUGGAGAUAGGUAAAAAUGAAUUCUUUUAGUGUUAUGAAAAUUCAACUUAGUUGAAUAGUUAUGGUUGAAUGCCAGUUAUUACUAGAUAAAAAAAUAGAAACAUGUAUUUUCUACAUUGACUUGAGUC